GGGGAAUUGUGGUUGAACCUGGAGAGAAGCCACAGCGGACCACUUGCCCACAUCACAUCUCAAGAGAACCAGGAGAGUACAUCUGUGUCUAAAGCCAUGACCCAGGAGUAGGUUGAACUGAAGCAAGAGACUGAAAUUUCAGGACACCAAGGAACAAAAGUCAAUCAAAGGAUGUCACAGAUCCCUUCAUCCCUAUCAAAGUUAGCAUCCAGACAAUAGUCGGAAACUUCCAAUUCUGCCUAAAGAUGGGAAGCAACGAUUUCCCAAAUGACCUGAGCCCCAGACUGACAUUGUUUACUCAUAACUGGGAAACCAGACAACAGAGGGGUGCUGAAAUCCUACAGUAGGCUUAUAGAAAUGUCUAGGCUAUUAUUGCAACAGAAUGGACAUUCUGACCCCUGUUAUAUCGUUUCCUGGGGCAGAAGCUAUGAGACUAUUAUGAAAAUUAUUUAAACCGCUUUCCAUAGCAGAAUC
ensembl:lncRNA novel transcript